AUUGAACGCUGGCGGCAGGCCUAACACAUGCAAGCCGAGCGGUUGAAGGGAGCUUGCUCCUGGAUUCAGCGGCAGACGGGUGAGUCAUGCCUAGGAAUCUGCCUGGUCGUGGGGGUAACCGUCCGGAAAGGGGCGCUAUUCCCGCUUACGUCCUGAGGGGGAAAGUGGAGGAUUUUAGGCCCCCACGCUUACAGAUGAGCCUAGGUCGGAUUAGCUUGUUGGUGGGGUAACGGCCUACCAAGGCGACGAUCCGUAACUGGCCUGAGAGGAUGAUCCGUCACACUGGAACUGAGACGCGGUCCAGACUCCUACGGGAGGCAGCGGUGGGGAAUAGUAGACUAGUGGCGAAAGCCUGAUCCAGCCAAGCCGCGUGGGUUAAAAAGGUCUUCGGAUUUUAGAGCUAAUUAAGUUGGGAGUAGGGGCAGUAAGUUAAUACCGUGCUUAUUUGACGUUACCAACAGAAUAAGCACCGGCUAACUUCGUG
rnacentral:rRNA from 1 species